rnacentral:rRNA from 1 species
CGUCUAUAUACGUAUAGCAUAUCAAUAAGCGGAGGAAAAGAAACUAACUAGGAUUCCCUCAGUAACGGCGAGUGAAGCGGGAAGAGCUCAAAUUUGAAAUCUUCAAGGUUCUACCUUGACGAAUUGUAGUUUAAAGAAGUGUUUUCUGUUGGAGUUUUGGUAAAAGAUCUUUGGAAUAGGACAUCAUAGAGGGUGAGAAUCCCGUAUUUGACCGUUACUUUCCAGCUGUGUGAUACACUUUCAAAGAGUCGGAUUGUUUGGGAAUGCAGUCCAAAAUGGGUGGUAAAUUUCAUCUAAAGCUAAAUACUGGCGAGAGACCGAUAGCGAACAAGUACCGUGAGGGAAAGAUGAAAAGAACUUUGAAAAGAGAGUUAAACAGUACGUGAAAUUGUCAAAAGGGAAGCGUUUGACACCAGUGUUGUUUUCUCGAAAAUCAAUUAAAAAUGGCGGGAUUUUGUGUUGUAUUGACUUUAUCAGCUUUCUGCACUUUUUUCCUGUCUUUUUUAAUGCACUUUUCGUUUAACAAGUCAACAUCAAUUUCUUUUGUUGUAAAAGAGUCAUUGGAAGGUGGCUUUCUUUUCGGAGAAAGUGUUUAUAGCCUUUGACUUCUGCAAUCGGAGAGAUUGAGGUCUGCAGCGUAGAUCCUUCGGGGUUAGAUACAUUUGUGCUAAGCUAUAGCCUUUCAUAGACAACUUGUUGACUAUGAUCAGUCAUGUAGCUUACUCGCUUAUGCUAUUUUACCUACGCUUAGGAUGUUGACGAUCAGCUGAGCGCG